AACGCACAUUGCGCCUCUUGGUAUUCCAGGAGGCACGCCUGUCCGAGCGCCAUUUCACCCCCCAAGCUCUGCUUGAUGUUGGACGCUAUCGCCUCUGUGGGAGCGAUACGUCUGAAACGUGUUUGGCGUCCUGCUGUGGAUCUCCGGGUGUGACAAAAUGUAAAUCACUUGGUGGAAACACGGCGGGGCAGUCUGUACCAAUCUUGAACGAUGGACGUUGUUUUAAGGUUGGCCUCGGAUCAGGCGGGGAUACCCGCUGAACUUAA
rnacentral:misc_RNA from 1 species